rnacentral:rRNA from 1 species
CCUACGGGGGGCAGCAGUGAGGAAUAUUGGUCAAUGGACGAGAGUCUGAACCAGCCAAGUAGCGUGAAGGAUGACUGCCCUAUGGGUUGUAAACUUCUUUUAUAUGGGAGUAAAAUGUUCCACGUGUGGGAUUUUGUAUGUCCCAUAUGAAUAUGGAUCGGCUAACGCCGUGCCAGCAGCCGCGGUAAUACGGAGGAUCCGAGCGUUAUCCGGAUUUAUUGGGUUUAAAGGGAGCGUAGGUGGAUUGUUAAGUCAGUUGUGAAAGUUUGCGGCUCAACCGUAAAAUUGCAGUUGAAACUGGCAGUCUUGAGGACAGUAGAGGUGGGCGGAAUUCGUGGUGUAGCGGUGAAAUGCUUAGAUAUCACGAAGAACUCCGAUUGCGAAGGCAGUUCACUGGACUGCAACUGACACUGAGGCUCGAAAGUGUGGGUAUCAAACAGGAUUAGAUACCCCUGUAGUC